rnacentral:tRNA from 1 species
UCCUGGCUGGCUCAGUGGGUAGAGCAUGCGACUCUUGAUCUCAGGGCCAUGAGUUUGAAUCCCAUGUGUGGCA